rnacentral:rRNA from 1 species
UGAGGAAUCUUGGUCAAUGGACGCAAGUCUGAACCAGCCAAGUAGCGUGCAGGAUGACGGCCCUAUGGGUUGUAAACUGCUUUUAUAUGGGGAUAAAGUGGGGAACGUGUUCCCUUUUGCAGGUACCAUAUGAAUAAGGACCGGCUAAUUCCGUGCCAGCAGCCGCGGUAAUACGGAAGGUUCGGGCGUUAUCCGGAUUUAUUGGGCUUAAAGGGAGCGUAGGCCGUUUGGUAAGCGUGUUGUGAAAUGUAGGAGCUCAACUUCUAGAUUGCAGCGCGAACUGUCAGACUGGAGUGCGCACAACGUAGGCGGAAUUCAUGGUGUAGCGGUGAAAUGCUUAGAUAUCAUGAAGAACACCGAUUGCGAAGGCAGCUUACGGGAGCGCAACUGACGCUGAAGCUCGAAGGUGCGGGUAUCGAACAGG